rnacentral:rRNA from 1 species
GUGUCAGCAGCCGCGGUAAUACGGGGGGAACAAGCGUUGUUCGGAAUUACUGGGUUUAAAGCGCGCGCAGGCGGAAAGGCAAGUCUGGUCGUGAAAUCCUCCGGCUCAACCGGAGAAUGGCGCUGGAAACUGCCUUUCUAGAGUGCGGAAGAGGAAAGUAGAAUUCACGGUGUAGCGGUGAAAUGCGUAGAUAUCGUGAGGAAUACCGGUGGCGAAGGCGGCUUUCUGGUCCGCAACUGACGCUCAGGCGCGAAGGCUAGGGGAGCAAACAGGAUUAGAAACCCGCGUAGUCC